ACUCAAAGGAAUUGACGGGGACCCGCACAAGCAGCGGAGCGUGUGGUUUAAUUCGAUGCGACGCGAAGAACCUUACCUGGGUUCAAUGCUAGUUGCACCACCUGUAAUGGGGUGUCCUCGCAAGAGGCGGCUAGCACGGUGCUGCAUGGCUGUCGUCAGUUCGUGCCGUGAGGUGUUGGGUUAAGUCCCCUAACGAACGCAACCCCCGGUGCCGGUUAUCCAUCCGGCGCAACUGCCGCGCAGAACGCGGAGGAAGGUGGGGAUGAUGUCAAGUCAGCACGGCCCUUACGCCCAGGGCUACACACACGCUACAAUGGCCGGGACAAUGAGUUGCAAGCCCGCGAGGGGGAGCUAAUCUACUAAACCCGGUCUCAGUUCGGAUAGCAGGCUGCAACCCGCCUGCUUGAAGUCGGAGUUGCUAGUAAACGCCGGUCAGCACACGGCGUUGAAUACGUUCCCGGGUCUUGUACACACCGCCCGU
rnacentral:rRNA from 1 species